AGAAGGAUCAUUCACAAUGCAUACGUAAGCAUUAUGCAUGCAUACAGGCACAGUACUGGAUGUAUGCCAACUUUCAUGUGAAAAACGAACUUAAGGAAAUUGGUGAAAAUCGUGAGACAAACGAACUGAGAGAAACUGGUUAAUCAUUGCAAUUGAUAGAGUAUUAUUAAAUACACGACUUUCAGCGAUGGAUGUCUCGGAUCUCGUAACGAUGAAGGACGCAGCUAGCUGCGAUACGCAGUGUGACUUGCAAACUUCAGAGAAUCACUAGAUUUUUGAACGCAAAAGGCACUCUUGAGUUCUGCUCAGGAGUAUGUUCACUUCAGUGCUUUAUAUGUUUGUUGUCUUAAUCGGUAGACAACGUGGAUAGUUGCUGUUCUUACGGCUUCUGUAAUCGAAUGGUCUUGCCUCUUUGGUGAUCCCUUAGAGAUCAAGUCCUAGUUGUUUUCCAAACAAGCCUGAAUUUGAGCAAGGCUACCCGCUGAAUUUAAGCAUAUUAUUAAGCGGAGGAAAAGAAACUAACUAGGAUUCCCUUAGUAACGGCGAGUGAACAGGGAAGAGCUCAAACUGAAAAUCAGCAGCUUGCUGUUGAAUUGUAGUCUCACGAAGUGCAGCCUGUGUUUGUUCUAGGUUAAGUCUCUUGAAAAAGAGUUCCAGAGAGGGUGAAAGACCCGUCUUUGCCUAGAAAUAUUCACGUUCGGUGCAUUUUCAAAGAGUCGCGUUCCUUGAGAUUGGAGCGCUAAUUGGGUGAUAAAUUUCAUCUAAAGCUAAAUACUAACGAGAUUCCGAUAGCAUACAAGUACCGUGAGGGAAAGAUGAAAAGGACUUUGAAAAGAGAGUUAAAAGGAACUGAAAUCGCUGAAAGGGAA
rnacentral:misc_RNA from 1 species